rnacentral:misc_RNA from 1 species
UAUUGGAAAGAACAAAAACCAAAAAAACCAAAAAAAACACCAAAAU